GACGAACGCUGGCGGCGUGCUUAACACAUGCAAGUCGAACGGAAAGGCCCUGCUUUUGUGGGGUGCUCGAGUGGCGAACGGGUGAGUAACACGUGAGUAACCUGCCCUUGACUUUGGGAUAACUUCAGGAAACUGGGGCUAAUACCGGAUAGGAGCUCCUGCUGCGUGGUGGGGGGUGGAAAGUUUCGGCGGUUGGGGAUGGACUCGCGGCUUAUCAGCUUGUUGGUGGGGUAGUGGCUUACCAAGGCUUUGACGGGUAGCCGGCCUGAGAGGGUGACCGGCCACAUUGGGACUGAGAUACGGCCCAGACUCCUACGGGAGGCAGCAGUGGGGAAUAUUGCACAAUGGGCGGAAGCCUGAUGCAGCAACGCCGCGUGCGGGAUGACGGCCUUCGGGUUGUAAACCGCUUUCGCCUGUGACGAAGCGUGAGUGACGGUAAUGGGUAAAGAAGCACCGGCUAACUACGUG
rnacentral:rRNA from 1 species